rnacentral:rRNA from 1 species
ACGAACGCUGGCGGCGUGCCUAAUACAUGCAAGUCGAACGAAACUUUCUUACACCGAAUGCUUGCAUUCACCGUAAGAAGUUGAGUGGCGGACGGGUGAGUAACACGUGGGUAACCUGCCUAAAAGAAGGGGAUAACACUUGGAAACAGGUGCUAAUACCGUAUAUCUCUAAGGAUCGCAUGAUCCUUAGAUGAAAGAUGGUUCUGCUAUCGCUUUUAGAUGGACCCGCGGCGUAUUAACUAGUUGGUGGGGUAACGGCCUACCAAGGUGAUGAUACGUAGCCGAACUGAGAGGUUGAUCGGCCACAUUGGGACUGAGACACGGCCCAAACUCCUACGGGAGGCAGCAGUAGGGAAUCUUCCACAAUGGACGCAAGUCUGAUGGAGCAACGCCGCGUGAGUGAAGAAGGUCUUCGGAUCGUAAAACUCUGUUGUUAGAGAAGAACACGAGUGAGAGUAACUGUUCAUUCGAUGACGGUAUCUAACCAGCAAGUCACGGCUAACUACGUGCCAGCAGCCGCGGUAAUACGUAGGUGGCAAGCGUUGUCCGGAUUUAUUGGGCGUAAAGGGAACGCAGGCGGUCUUUUAAGUCUGAUGUGAAAGCCUUCGGCUUAACCGGAGUAGUGCAUUGGAAACUGGAAGACUUGAGUGCAGAAGAGGAGAGUGGAACUCCAUGUGUAGCGGUGAAAUGCGUAGAUAUAUGGAAGAACACCAGUGGCGAAAGCGGCUCUCUGGUCUGUAACUGACGCUGAGGUUCGAAAGCGUGGGUAGCAAACAGGAUUAGAUACCCUGGUAGUCCACGCCGUAAACGAUGAUUGCUAGGUGUAGGUGGGUAUGGACCCAUCGGUGCCGCAGCUAACGCAAUAAGCAAUCCACCUGGGGAGUACGUUCGCAAGAAUGAAACUCAAAGGAAUUGACGGGGGCCCGCACAAGCGGUGGAGCAUGUGGUUUAAUUCGAAGCAACGCGAAGAACCUUACCAGGUCUUGACAUCCUUUGACCACCUAAGAGAUUAGGCUUUCCCUUCGGGGACAAAGUGACAGGUGGUGCAUGGCUGUCGUCAGCUCGUGUCGUGAGAUGUUGGGUUAAGUCCCGCAACGAGCGCAACCCUUGUUGUCAGUUGCCAGCAUUAAGUUGGGCACUCUGGCGAGACUGCCGGUGACAAACCGGAGGAAGGUGGGGACGACGUCAAGUCAUCAUGCCCCUUAUGACCUGGGCUACACACGUGCUACAAUGGACGGUACAACGAGUCGCGAGACCGCGAGGUUUAGCUAAUCUCUUAAAGCCGUUCUCAGUUCGGAUUGUAGGCUGCAACUCGCCUACAUGAAGUCGGAAUCGCUAGUAAUCGCGAAUCAGCAUGUCGCGGUGAAUACGUUCCCGGGCCUUGUACACACCGCCCGUCACACCAUGAGAGUUUGUAACACCCAAAGCCGGUGGGGUAACCGCAAGGAGCCAGCCGUCUAAGGUGGGACAGAUGAUUGGGGUG